AUGGCGUCCAAGGUGUCGGCUUCAUGUGGCCUCUUCCUUGCCCUUAACCUCCUCUUGUUUGCAGUAACCAGUGCCUGCCCAAGCUGCGGCGACACGGGCAACAAUGGUGGCCACGGGAGCAGCGGCGGCGGGAGAGGUGGUGGCGGUGGAAGUGGCAGCGGCGGAGGAGGCCAUGGAGGCGGGGGCGGUGGAGGCCGUGGAGGCGGCGGCGGCGGAUAUGGAGGCGGAAGCGGAGGGGGUGGAGGAAGUAGCGGUGGUGGGAUCAUUGGCGGCGGUCCAGGUGGUGGCAUCAUCGGCGGGGGCCCUGGUGGUGGGAUCAUCGGCGGCGGGAGCGGUGGUGGUGGAAGUGGCGGCGGCGGCGGUGGCGGGUAUGGAGGAGGAGGCGGCGGCGGGACGAGCGGGUGGUACGGCAAGUGCCCGACGGACGCGCUGAAGCUGCACGUGUGCGCCAAUGUGCUGGAUCUGAUCAAGGCGAAGGUGGGCGUGCCUCCGUUGAACGACCGGUGCUGCCCGCUGCUCAACGGGCUCGUCGACCUGGACGCCGCCAUCUGCCUCUGCACCGCCAUCAAGGCCGACGUGCUAGGCAUCCACAUCAACCUCCCCAUCCACCUCAGCCUCAUCCUCAACUUCUGCGGCAAGGGCGUCCCAACCGGCUUCAUGUGCCCUACCUAA
rnacentral:rRNA from 1 species